CUCAGCAUGGUAACAGAUGGUAUGCAGGAAAGACUCGACAGACUGGAGUCAAAGGUGGACCGCAUACUACAACUACUGUGAGGAAUCAGGCUGCUGAAGAAGCUGACUGCAUUGGAGAUAAUGCAGGCCAGACUUAAAACAACGGAGGAGCUGGACCAAUUCAGCAAAACGCUGGAGGACCAGGAGUUUAGGAGGACAGUGGUGAAUCUGCUGAAACAGCUAUCUGGAUCAACGCCAAACUCCUUUGCCAGGACGAUGCUCGGCGAAAUUGGGAUGUGGUAGUUGUGGGCUGGUGUCAGCCUCAAAGGAUGGAAAGGGAAGAAAGCCCUGCAGCCUCUCACUCUCUAGAGUUUUGAAGAAAGCCUUCAGCAACAAGAUGGAAAUUUUACCAGACGCUAUCGAUGAUGCGUUAACUGAAACACUGCGCCAUGCAGCAAAGAGGGUAA